CUAUACAUGACUCUGUGCAUAUCAAUAAGCGGAGGAAAAGAAACUAACAAGGAUUCCCUUAGUAACGGCGAGUGAAGCGGGAAGAGCUCAAAUUUGAAAUCUUCAAGGUUUUACCUUGACGAAUUGUAGUUUAAAGAAGUGUUUUCUGCUGAAGUUUUGGUAAAAGUUCUUUGGAAUAGGACAUCAUAGAGGGUGAGAAUCCCGUAUUUGACCAUUAUUUUCAGCUUUGUGAUACACUUUCAAAGAGUCGGAUUGUUUGGGAAUGCAGUCCAAAAUGGGUGGUAAAUUUCAUCUAAAGCUAAAUAUUGGCGAGAGACCGAUAGCGAACAAGUACCGUGAGGGAAAGAUGAAAAGAACUUUGAAAAGAGAGUUAAACAGUACGUGAAAUUGUCAAAAGGGAAGCGUUUGACACCAGUGUUGUUUACUCGAAAAUCAAUUAAAAAUGGCUCGAUUUUGUAUUGUUGAGACCUUAAAAGCUCACUGUACAUUUUUCGUGUCUUUUUUAAUGCACUUUUCGUUUAACAAGUCAACAUCAGUUUCUUUUGUUGUAAAAGGGUCAUUGGAAGGUGGCUUUCUUCUCGGAGAAAGUGUUUAUAGCCUUUGGCCUCUGCAAUCGGAGAGACUGAGGUCUGCAGCGUAGACUCUUCGGGGUUAGAUAGCACUUGUGCUAAGUUAUAGCUUUUUAUAGACAACUUGUUGACUAUAAUUAGUCUUGUAGCUUACUCGCUUAUGCUAUUUUACCUACGCUUAGGAUGUUGAAGAUGUAGCACAUCAU
rnacentral:rRNA from 1 species